GGGUGUCUUCAGCAUGGCCCGGACUCUGCUGCUCCUCACCUUCCUGGCCUCCUGCACAGGGACUUGGGCCCAGUUUGUGCUGACUCAGAUCCCCUCUGUGUCGGGGUCUCCAGGGGAGAAGGUCACCAUCUCCUGUACCCGCAGCAGUGGAGAUAUCAGUUCCUACUAUGUGCACUGGUACCAGCAGCGCCCUGGGAGUGCCCCCACAAACGUGAUCUAUAAUGACAAUAAAAGGCCCUCUGGGGUCCCUGAUAGGUUUUCUGGGUCCAUUGAGAGUGCCUCUAAUGCUGCCCACCUGACCAUCGCUGGUGUGCAGCCUGAGGACGAGGCGGACUAUUACUGUCAGUCCGAUGAUAGUAGCGGCUAUAGUCACCCAGUGCUCCAGACCUAUGGGGAAGUGAGACUAAAACUGCCCUAA